rnacentral:rRNA from 1 species
GACGAACGCUGGCGGCGUGCUUAACACAUGCAAGUCGAACGGAAAGGCCCUGCUUUUGUGGGGUGCUCGAGUGGCGAACGGGUGAGUAACACGUGAGUAACCUGCCCUUGACUUUGGGAUAACUUCAGGAAACUGGGGCUAAUACCGGAUAGGAGCUCCUGCUGCAUGGUGGGGGUUGGAAAGUUUCGGCGGUUGGGGAUGGACUCGCGGCUUAUCAGCUUGUUGGUGGGGUAGUGGCUUACCAAGGCUUUGACGGGUAGCCGGCCUGAGAGGGUGACCGGCAACAUUGGGACUGAGAUACGGCCCAGACUCCUACGGGAGGAAGCAGGGGGGAAUAUUGCAAAAUGGGCGGAAGCCGGAUGAAGCAACGCCGCGUGCGGGAUGACGGCCUUCGGGUUGUAAACCGCUUUCGCCUGUGACGAAGCGUGAGUGACGGUAAUGGGUAAAGAAGCACCGGCUAACUACGUG